GGCACCGGUCGUGACUGGCGCAGGUGGGUGCAACCACCGGGGAGCGGCCGCAGUGCCCCGCCACGCACCGCCCGCCUGGGUGCAUGGG
rfam:Cellulomonas sp. Leaf395 contig_3, whole genome shotgun sequence.